CGGUGUGUAGCUCAGUUUGGUAGAGCGAUUGCUUUGGGAGCAUUAGGUCCGAGGUUCGAAUCCUCGUACACCGA
rnacentral:tRNA from 1 species